AGAGUUUGAUCCUGGCUCAGAACGAACGCUGGCGGCGUGGAUAAGACAUGCAAGUCGGACGAGAUUUUCCGUUGUAGCAAUACGAUGGAAAGUCUAGUGGCGAACGGGUGCUUAACACGUGGGCAACCUGCCAAGAAGUGGGGGAUAGCUCGCCGAAAGGCGAAUUAAUACCGCAUGUGAUCAGAGAGGACAUCCUUUCGAAAUUAAAGUCGGGGCAACCUGACGCUUUUUGUGGGGCCCGCGGCCUAUCAGCUAGUUGGUGAGGUAACGGCCCACCAAGGCUUUGACGGGUAGCUGGUCUGAGAGGACGACCAGCCACACUGGGACUGAGACACGGCCCAGACACCUACGGGUGGCAGCAGUCGAGAAUUUUUGACAAUGGGGGAAACCCUGAUCGAGCGACGCCGCGUGGAGGAUGAAGGUCUUCGGAUUGUAAACUCCUGUCAUUGGGGAACAAUGCGUGACGGUUAACUGCCGUUGCGUUGAUAGUACCCGAAGAGGAAGAGACGGCUAACUCUGUGCCAGCAGCCGCGGUAAUACAGAGGUCUCAAGCGUUGUUCGGAUUCAUUGGGCGUAAAGGGUGCGUAGGCGGCGCGGUAAGUCGGGUGUGAAAUCUCGGAGCUUAACUCCGAAACUGCAUUCGAUACUGCCGUGCUUGAGGACUGGAGAGGAGACUGGAAUUUACGGUGUAGAGGUGAAAUUCGUAGAUAUUGGGAAGAACACCAGUGGCGAAGGCGACUAUCUGGACCGACAUUGACGCUGAGGCGCGAAAGCGUGGGGAGCAAACAGGAUUAGAUACCCCCGUAGUCC
rnacentral:rRNA from 1 species